rnacentral:lncRNA from 1 species
GAGAGAGAGAGAGAGAGAGAGAGAGAGAGAGACAGAGAGAGAGAGAGAGAGAGAGAGAGAGACACAGAGAGAGAGAGAGAGAGAGAGAGAGAGAGAGAGAGAGAGAGAAUUUGGCCUUUACUACUAUAGCUCAUAGAAACGCAUUGAACAACACAUUCCUAAAUGGCAAAAAAGACAGUAAAAAAAUAAAUCAUAAGGAAUAAGGUUUUGAAGUGUCUGUCCUAUAUCUAGAAGAUAUAAGAAAGCUCAGGAAAUAUUGAUACUUCUUUGGACACAUAUUUAACCCCUUAUUUUUGUUUCCACAAAACUACCUCCAUUCUUCCAUUCAUUUGUAUGGGUUACAUUCAAACGAGACCCAUGACACUUGUGGGGUUCGUAGAGCAAAACGGAGAACACCACCUAAAUUAGUUUAUAGCCCAAAUGGUUGUUUUCAUGAAAAUAUCUAUUUUCGGGAUGUUUCCUGGUCUUUUAUUUUACCUUUAUUUAAGUAGGCAAGUCAGUUAAUUAUUAUUUUCAAUGACGGCCUAGGAACAGUGGGUUAACUUCCUUGUUCAGGGGUAGAACAACAGAUUUUGUACCUUGUCAGCUUGGGGAUUUGAUCUCACAACCUCUAGGGUUACUAGUCCAACGCUCUAAACACUAGGCUAUGCUGUAGCUCAGCCACCUUCCCACCGCGGAUGCAGAAGGGCCGCCAUUGGUGGAUGCGGUGGAUUGAGACACAGCCCGUGCAAAAAAAAUACAGAUAUCUCGAGCUUAAACAGACGGAUUUUGAUGGGGGAUUAUUUUAUUAUAUUACUUAUUAUGUGUUAGACCUUAAGGAUUAAUAAGAAAAGUUUAGUAAAUUACCAGGGGUUUUGCAACCCUAUUCUUACAUCCAGACAACAGUCAAAUAGACUGAAAAGAUUCAUAAAAAUGGAAUACAUGCGUCUUAAUUAAAGCUGGAAUCCUUAACUUUUUAGUGACAGGAGGCAGUAUUCGGAAAUUUGGAUGAAUGACGUGCCCAAAUUAAAUUGCCUACUACUCGGGCUCAGAACGUAGGAUAUGCAUAUUAUUAGUAGAUUUGGAUAGAAAACACUCUGAAGUUUCUAGUUUCUAAAACUGUUUGAAUGAUGUCUGUGAGUAUAACAGAACUCAUAUGGCAGGCAAAAACCUGAGAAAAUAUCCAACCAGGAAGUGACUUGUAGUUCUUCUAUCAAAUCCCUAUUCAAACUACAGUGUCUGUGGGGUCAUUUUGCACUUCCUAAGGCUUCCAUUGGCUGUCAACAGCCUUUAGAAACUUGUUUCAUGCGUCUACUGUUACUGGGCAGAGAAUAGGAGCUCAGUCAAUCAGUGGACUUCCUGGGACCAGUGAGUUGUUUACUGCGCGAGCACAUUGGCGCGCCUCUCCUUUUUCCUCUGUAAUGAAUACGCUAUUGUCCGGUUGGAAUAUCAACGUUUUAUGUUAAAAAGACCCUAAGGAUUGAUUGUAAACAUCGUUUGACAUGUUUCUAUGAACGGUAAUGGAACUAUUUGACUUUUCGUCUCUGGUUCUGCGCUCUCGCGUUAUGCCUUUGGAUUAGUGACCUGAACGCGCGAACAAAACGGAGGUAUUUGGACAUAAAUAUGGAGUAUUUCGAACAAAAAUAACAUUUCUUGUGGAAGUGGGAGUCCUGGGAGUGCAUUCCGACGAAGAUCAGCAAAGGUAAGGGAAGAUUUAUAAUACUAAUUCUGAGUUUAGUUGACUCCAGAACUUGGCGGGUAACUGUAUAGCUUGCUUUGAUGGCUGAGCUCUGUACUCAGAAUAUUGAAAAAUGUGCUUUCGCCGUAAAGCUAUUUUAAAAUCUGACACAGCGGUUGCAUUAAGGAGAAGUAUAUCUAUAAUUCUUUCAAUAACUGUUGUAAAGUUUAUCAACGUUUAUGAUGAGUAUUUUUGUAAAUUGAUGUGCUCAUUCACCGGAAAUUUUGGUGGGAAUACAUUUUCUGAACAUCACGCGCCAAUGUAAAAUGGGGUUUAUGGAUAUAAAUAUGAACUUUAUCGAACAAAACAUACAUGUAUUUUGUAACAUUGAGUCCUGGGAGUGCAUUCCGACGAAGAUCAGCAAAGGUAAAGGAAGAUUUAUAAUACUAAUUCUGAGUUUAGUUGACUCCAGAACUUGGCGGGUAACUGUAUAGCUUGCUUUGAUGGCUGAGCUCUGUACUCAGAAUAUUGAAAAAUGUGCUUUCCCCGAAAAGCUAUUUUAAAAUCUGACACAGCGGUUGCAUUAAGGAGUAGUCUAUCUAUAAUUCUUUCAAUAACUGUUGUAAAGUUUAUCAACGUUUAUGAUGAGUAUUUUUGUAAAUUGAUGUGCUCAUUCACUGGAAGUUUUGGUGAGAAUACAUUUUCUGAACAUCACGCGCCAAUGUAAAAUGGGGUUUAUGGAUAUAAAUAUGAACUUUAUCGAACAAAACAUACAUGUAUUUUGUAACAUUGAGUCCUGGGAGUGUCAUCUGAUGAAGAUCAUCAAAGGUUAGUGAUUCAUUUUAGCUGUAUUUCUGGUUUUUGUGACGCCUCUCCUUGCUAGGAAAAUGGCUGUGUGGUUGUUCUUGUCAAGGUGAUGUCCUAACAUAAUCUAAUGUUUUGCUUUCGCCGUAAAGCCUUUUUGAAAUCGGACGCUGUGGUUAGAUUAAGGAGAAUCUUAUCUUUAAAAUGGUGUAUAAUACUUGUAUGUUUGAGAAAUUUGAAUUAUGAGAUUUUUGUUGUUUUGAAUUUGCCGCCCUGCUAUUUCACUGGCUGUACCGCAGGUGGGACGCUAGCGUCCCACAUAGCCCAUACUAAUUGUAACGUCCGCUUUGCAAUAUUACAACAACAAAGAAGUUACUGCAAACAACAAACACUGUUUUUUUCCCCUUGGACAGCAUUGUGUAAUUUAUUGAUGAUCCCUAACUACCCCCGGCGAUCGUCAAUCCGAAGUCAAAACAAAUUUGCCAUGGUUGUACAUCAGUCGGCUGAAGCUAAUUGGCGAAACAACUUGGCAAUAUCUUCCCACCUGCAAACACACAAAAGAGACACCCCGAAACCAACUCACGUUUUAAUUCAGUCAUAGCAUUUAUUAAUUUACCAAAUCUAAAAUGAGACCAAAUCAGGAAGAGCAGUCACCCUUGACAUUUGUAUUAAGUGGUGGUCUUAAAAAAGUGGAGGUUCGUUGCAGGUGGACAUUCGCUAUAAGACAGGAUUUCACAGCUGCACCUUUACUGAUACCUGGCUUUGUGUCAGUGGGGACUGUGGGACUCGGACUAGUCUAGUGGUUCAGACAGUGGACCAGGAGAUAUCCGGAGACUGGUGUCAGACAGAGGGACGCAUGACUAGACACGUCUCCAAUAACACACACACUUUUGAACUUCGGUGAGUGACGUUUGAUCUGCAUUAUAUGUGAUGUCAUCAGUUCAUUUUGAUUAAAUGUUUUAUAACUUACUUAGAUGCUGUAUCUUCCAUCCAUUACUAAUAUGUUUAUGUACCUGAUCUGUAGUUACAAUGUACAGCUAAGUUAUUGCAUCCUGGUAACCGAAGUAGUUAUAGGGGACAAUGGGCAACAUACAUAUCGUCCCAUUUCUGGGCAACAGUAUAAAAAGGAAAAAAACUAAACACAUUGAUGAAUACACACAGUACUGUACGUGAUGAACGACUUACCAUAUACAGUAACAACAAGAGUGUUUAGGCGUGUUCAAGGUGUUUGCUAACUAUCAUUCUUCUCUGUCUCUUACAUCAUCACAGUAUGGAUGGGGGUAACUGGUUAUCUACCACUAAUAAUGUUGUUGGUUGGAGGCUGGUGACUCAUGUGGAUCUUGGGGUCAGGUCUGACACAGGGAAAGCCAACCGAUCUCCACAAACCACCGUCAUACCUCUGAUGCGGUAAAUACUACUCUAUACAUACAGGACUACAUAACCAUGAGGUAAAUACUACUCUAUACAUACAGGACUACAUAACCAUGAGGUAAAUACUACUCUAUACAUGCAGGACUACAUAACCAUGAGGUAAAUACUACUCUAUACAUACAGGACUACAUAACCAUGAGGUAAAUACUACGCUAUACAUACAGGACUACAUAACCAUGAGGUAAAUACGACCAUAUACAUACAGGACUACAUAACCAUUAAUACCUGUAUAACAUAACCAUUAAUACUGGUAUUCGUAAUGUGAAAACUAGAUAUACCUAUUAGAGGUUGAUAUUUAUUUCAGUGUAAAAAAGUCAUUUUAUAAGUCUGUGUUGUAUUCAGUCAAUUAAAAAAGGUCUUAAGGGAUUUGAAACACUGUAAUAACAAAGUCUCUCUCCUCUCACACCCUCUCUCUCUCUGUCUCCCCUCUCUCUCUCUGUCUCCCCCCUCUCUGUCUCUGUCUCCCCCCUCUGUCUCCCCUCUCUCUCUGUCUCCCCUCUCUCUCUCCUCUCACACCCUCUCUCUCUCUGUCUCCCCUCUCUCUCUCCUCUCACACCCCCUCUCUCUCUGUCUCCCCUCUCUCUCUCUGUCUCCCCCCUCUCUGUCUGUCUCCCCCCCUCUGUCUCCCCUCUCUCUCUGUCUGCCCUCUCUCUCUGUCUGCCCUCUCUCUCUGUCUCCCCUCUCUCUCUGUCUCCCCUCUCUCUCCUUUCACACCCCUCUCUCUCUGUCUCCCCUCUCUCUCUCCUCUCACACCCCUCUCUCUCUGUCUCCCCUCUCUUCUCCUCUCACACCCCCCCUCUCUCUGUCUCCCCUCUCUCUCUGUCUCCCCCCUCUCUCUGUCUCUGUCUCCCCCCCUCUCUGUCUCCUGUCUCCCCCCUCUCUGUCUCCC